rfam:Triticum aestivum genome assembly, contig: Triticum_aestivum_CS42_TGACv1_scaffold_131533_2BL
GUUGUACUCCCUCCGUCCCAAAAUUCUUGUCUUAAAUUUGUCUAGAUAUGAAUGUACUUAAUAUUAAAACGUGACUUGAUACAUCCGUAUUUAGACAAAUCUAAUACAAGAAUUUUGGGACGGAGGGAGUAUGUG